AGUGAACGCUGGCGGUAGGCCUAACACAUGCAAGUCGAACGGCAGCACAGUAAGAGCUUGCUCUUACGGGUGGCGAGUGGCGGACGGGUGAGGAAUACAUCGGAAUCUACUUUUUCGUGGGGGAUAACGUAGGGAAACUUACGCUAAUACCGCAUACGACCUACGGGUGAAAGCAGGGGAUCUUCGGACCUUGCGCGAUUGAAUGAGCCGAUGUCGGAUUAGCUAGUUGGCGGGGUAAAGGCCCACCAAGGCGACGAUCCGUAGCUGGUCUGAGAGGAUGAUCAGCCACACUGGAACUGAGAAACGGUCCAGACCCCUACGGGAGGCAGCAGUGGGGAAUAUUGGACAAUGGGCGCAAGCCUGAUCCAGCCAUACCGCGUGGGUGAAGAAGGCCUUCGGGUUGUAAAGCCCUUUUGUUGGGAAAGAAAAGCAGCAGGUUAAUACCCCGCUGUUCUGACGGUACCCAAAGAAUAAGCACCGGCUAACUUCGUG
rnacentral:rRNA from 1 species